UACGGCACAUGCUCCGAGCACGCCUACAGGCAUCGCUUGCUCAAGACUAGUAUAGGAGUUCUGAAGAGUUGCUUGCAAGCAAACAGCAUGGCAUAGUGGGCUCAGUGAUGGGCCACAGGACAAGACCUCUCGGGUUUGAGACACACAGCUACAUAAGGAUUUUUCCAAAAAUGCAAGCGUAAAAAUAUGGCGAAAGAAGAAGGCCGGAGCCCUGUCAGGCACGGGGAUACUAGGGGGGGUGACAGUAGGACUCUCACGGAAAAUAAAAGAUCAAAGAGGGAGCCAAAGAUGGGAGAAGGCAUUUUUUGCAAGCACCGCGCAACGCGGACAACCUUUUCUGACUGCCCCAAAAUGCUGAACCCCGUUUGCAUCCUGUCCACUCCCAAAGAUAAUGGGGUCGUAUCCAGGCGGCGCGACUGCUGUGUGAUGGAUGCAAUCACACUGGACAUGUUAGUUCAACAGUUACUAUUAAAUAGAUUUUGUUACUAAUAAUGUUUGAAUGUAUAUAUUAAAAUAUAUUUAUUCUUGUGAUUUAUGUUUAUCU
rnacentral:lncRNA from 1 species